rnacentral:rRNA from 1 species
UGGGGAAUUUUGCACAAUGGGGGAAACCCUGAUGCAGCGACGCCGCGUGAUUUAGAAGGCCUUCGGGUUGUAAAAAUCUUUUCUAUGGGAAGAAAAUGACAGUACCAUAGGAAUAAGGACCGGCUAAUUACGUGCCAGCAGCCGCGGUAAUACGUAAGGUCCGAGCGUUGUCCGGAAUCAUUGGGCGUAAAGGGUACGUAGGCGGGUAAGCAAGUUAGAAGUGAAAUCCUAUAGCUCAACUAUAGUAAGCUUUUAAAACUGCUCAUCUUGAGGGAGGGAAGGGAAAGUGGAAUUCCUAGUGUAGCGGUGAAAUGCGCAGAUAUUAGGAGGAAUACCGGUGGCGAAGGCGACUUUCUGGCCAUAACCUGACGCUGAGGUACGAAAGCGUGGGUAGCAAACAGG